UGAUACGCAAGUUACUUACUUCUAGGCAAGUUACGUAGUUUUCUAGGCAGUUUUUGCAGAAGUUACGAAAAUUGUGCAACCUUAUACAUAACUUAUGCAAUUUGCGAUGGGGCCCCCUUAUCUACAUAUAUACAAGCUACAUAUUAUAAAUGCACCAAAGGGCCCUGUACCUGCUAUAUUUAAUCUGAAAAAUACACUAUUGACAGUGAAAGAAAACCCCAAAUAUAAAGUCAGACAAGUGGUGUGGAAAAUAUAAUGAAAUCUCUGUAAAUUAAAGAGAAGGCCCAAAAAUAGGUGUAGGGUAUUCUGUACUUCCUAUGUCUGUCUGUCUGUCCCAGAGUGCACAUGCUUUAAAAAUGGAUCAGGUCAACUAUUAAAUCUAGUGAAGUGCAGGAAUAAUGGCUUAAAAGUUAUGUAAUAGCCAACGUCAAGCCGAUGUUUCAUAAUAUACACACAACUAUGUAAUUAGUCAUAUUAUUAAAAUGAUCAUUAAACCUUACAUAAGUCCAUUACAAGUAA